CACCCCCCCUUAAAUACUUAGCGAUGGGUUGCCUUCAAAAAUUAUUCGCGCCCCUUCCAUGCACCAUCUCGCAUCCAUCAAAAAAUUUCACACCUUCUGAUAAAUUCUCAUGUCUAUCUAAAAGAGUUUGACACAUGGAAAUCAUCAAAAAAAAAUCCAAGAGAUGCUUCAAACAGAAGGACUCUUCAGAAUAUUUUUCUCGAAGAUUCUUCGAUACAUCAUGCAGCUUCC
rnacentral:lncRNA from 1 species